AUGAUAAAAAAAAAACAGUCAGAAUUAUGGAGCUUCAGUUUUGGCCAUUGUAAGUUUCUUCAACAUGCUGGUUGGUAGAUCUCAAGAGAAGUAGAAGUACUGCAGACAAGGAACAUCAUUGAUGGCAUUGGAUAUAGGAAUGAGUUUUGAGAUCCAGGAAAACAGUGAAAUUCUCUUGCUCAAUGAUAUCAAUUGGGCUAGUAGUUUACUCCUGUCGUGUCUUUGCUACCACUACCACACAUAUCAUUUCAUGAAUUCAUGCAUCACAUGUUGAGAUAAUCCGUCAUUUUAAAAGAGUCGCUGUUCGAGAAUGUAUAGACUUUAGAUCUAAUGUAUAGAUCGUAUACGUUAUCAUUGCGGGGACCCUCCUUAUCUCACUCUUUUAAAAGGUAACAUAACCUUCAAUUUAUGCUUGGCAGUUUUAUCUGAUCACGUGGCCUCGCCGAAACUGCAUAUAGUACAUUUCCCCAAAAUGUCGUCUGUCUCUUGCUGCACAUACCGCCUGUUCGUUUCGUCACAUGCAGCAACAAUCCAGAACAGAAAAAAAAUUGAGUUUUUUUCUCUAAGUAGGAAUACAGCUUUUUAAGGUAUGAGCUUCUCAGUCCAACGUGCAUUGUUGUAGUUGCAGUAAGCUGGCAGGUGAUCUUCUUGCAGUUUUGCUUGCUAUCUGUACAGCUUGUACCUUUCGUCACAUGCAGCAACCCUUCAGAACAGUUUAAAAUAAUGGAGUUGGUCUGGUGUUUAUGGAAUACAGCCUCUUAAGGUCUGACUGAGCCUCUCAGUAGGAUGUGUACGCGGAUUUGUUGCAGACAGCUGGCGAAAGGUGUUCUUCUUGCUGGCUUGCUUUCUUCUUACAGAUUACAACCUCUUGCUCUUUGGCUCCGAACCUCUUGGUAGCAGUCCAAUGUGCAGACGGACUAGGUGCAGUUAGUUGGUGUACGGUGUGGUACUGUUCAUGCAGACUAUAGUGCUGAUGUAGUGUGUAAAAUUCUGUCUACCAGGUGGCGAAGUGUCUUUUCGUGAGUGAAAAUGAGGUGACAAAAUUCCGACAUUUGCUUUGAAAGCAGUGGACUGGAAUGUGUUGCUGACGGUAUUUUUCGCUUUUACAUUUAAGAACGAUUGAGGUAUUCCGACGCCAUAUUUCGACCAAGCUGAAUCGAAAGUGAACAACUCUAAAGCAAAUCAUGCGUUUCUCCACGUGGUCGCUGCCGUGUCAUGUAGAUGCGUCUUUGAGAGGGUUUCUCCUAUAUCGCAAGACAAAAUUGUGAUGAAAACAGGAAAUCUGAAAUGGAUUUCAUGAUCAGUUUGAUUUUGGAGCUGUUUAUGGUGUUGCUGCGUGGUGUGCAGUGGUUUCACAAUCAUUUUCCAGUUGGCCGAUGCACUUGAAUGGAGUUUGUGCAGACUUGCAAUUCAACAUCAUACCCCAAUGUGUUAUUUGCCUAUGGUUGUGUCCGUGCUGAGAUGAACAGUUAGU